ensembl:lncRNA
CUGUCCGUGUCUGUCUAUCUAGCUGACCGUGUCCAUCUGUCUAUCUAUCUGUCCAUCCAUCUGUCCGUGUCCAUCUGUUUAUCUAUCUGUCCGUCUAUAUAUCUGUCCGUGUCUGUCUAUCUAUCUGUCCGUGUCCAUCUGUCUAUCUAUCUGUCCGUCUAUAUAUCUGUCCGUGUCUGUCUAUCUAUAUGUCCGUGUCCAUCUGUCUUUCUAUCUGUCCAUCUAUCUAUGUCCAUACAUCUAUCUGUCCAUGUCCAUCUGUCUAUCUAUCUGUUUGUCUAUAUAUCUGUCCGUGUCUGUCUAUCUAGCUGUCCGUGUCCAUCUGUCUAUCUAUCUGUCCAUACAUCUCUGUCCGUGUCCAUCUGUCUAUCUAUAUGUCCAUGUCCAUCUGUCUUUCUAUCUGUCCGUCUAUCUAUCUGUCCAUACAUCUAUCUGUCCGUGUCCAUCUUUCUAUCUAUCUGUCCGUCUAUAUAUCUGUCCAUGUCUUUCUAUCUAUUUGACUGUGUCCAUCUGUAUAUCUAUCUGUCCGUCUAUCUAUAUGUCCAUGUCCACCUGCUAACUAUUUGUCCGUCUAUCUAUCUGUCAUCCAUCAAUCUGUCCAUGUCCGUCUGUCUAUUUAUAUGUCCGUCCAUCUAUCUGUCUGUGCCCAACUGUCUAUCUAUCUAUCUGUCUGUCUAUCUAUCUGUCUGUCUAUCUGUCUAUCUAUCUGUCAUCCAUCUAUCUGUCUGUGUCCAUCUCUCUAUCUAUCUGUCUGUGUCUGUCCAUCUAUCUGUCCGUGUCCGUCUGUCUAUCUGUCUUCCAUCUAUCUGUCCAUUUGUCUAUCUGUCUGUGUCUGUCUGUCUAUCAAUCUGUUCAUCUGUCUAUCUAUCUGUCCAUCCGUCUAUCUGUCCAUGUCCAUCUGCCUAUCUGUCAUCCAUCUAUCUGUCCAUGUCCGUCUAUCUAUCUUCUUUCUAUCUAUCUAUCUAUCUAUCUAUCUAUCUAUCUAUCUAUCUAUCUAUCUAUCUAUCUAUCUAUCUAUCCAUGUCCAUCUGUCUAUCUGUCUUCCAUCUAUCUGUCCAUCCAUCUAUCUGUCCAUCCGUCUAUUUGUCCGUGUCCGUCUGUCUAUCUAUCUGUUC